rnacentral:rRNA from 1 species
AUUGAACGCUGGCGGCAUGCUUUACACAUGCAAGUCGAACGGUAACAGGCCUUCGGGUGCUGACGAGUGGCGCACGGGUGAGUAAUGCAUCGGAACGUACCCAGAGGUGGGGGAUAACGCAGCGAAAGCUGUGCUAAUACCGCAUGUGAUCUGAGGAUGAAAGCGGGGGACCGAGCAGCAAUGUUUGGCCUCGCGCCUUUGGAGCGGCCGAUGUCGGAUUAGCUAGUUGGCGGGGUAAAGGCCUACCAAGGCGACGAUCCGUAGCUGGUCUGAGAGGACGACCAGCCACACUGGGACUGAGACACGGCCCAGACUCCUACGGGAGGCAGCAGUGGGGAAUUUUGGACAAUGGGCGCAAGCCUGAUCCAGCAAUGCCGCGUGCGGGAAGAAGGCCUUCGGGUUGUAAACCGCUUUUGGCAGGAACGAAACGGUGUCCGCUAAUACCGGGCGCUAAUGACGGUACCUGCAGAAUAAGCACCGGCUAACUACGUG